rnacentral:sRNA from 2 species
CAUGCCGUAAUAGUCGCAGACGAAGCCAUAGUGUGUUGGCCUGUGUCAUCUCGCGGUCUAAAAUUUCUUCUUUUAUCUCGUUUAACCUCUCCCAGGUAGUAGUCGAAGUUGACAGUUAUUCCUCCAAACAUUGACGGAAAGGCAUUAUGGUUCAGGAGGAUGUGACGCAAGGUUGUGACAAAUAUGAAAAAAACAUUCCAUGGUUAUCCCUCGAUUCGAAGAAUUUGAUGCACGGGCUUUGCAGCAAAUUUGAGCCAGGAUG